rnacentral:rRNA from 1 species
CGAGCACGCGCGUGUGGCAUAUCAAUAAGCGGAGGAAAAGAAACUAACAAGGAUUCCCUUAGUAACGGCGAGUGAAGCGGGAAGAGCUCAAAUUUGAAAUCUUCAAGGUUCUACCUUGACGAAUUAUAGUUUAUAGAAGUGUUUUCUGUUAGUGGAGUGGCAAAAGUUCUUUGGAAUAGGACAUCAUAGAGGGUGAGAAUCCCGUAUUUGGUCAUUCCUCCUAGCGUUGUGAUACACUUUCAACGAGUCGGAUUGUUUGGGAAUGCAGUCCAAAAUGGGUGGUAAAUUUCAUCUAAAGCUAAAUAUUGGCGAGAGACCGAUAGCGAACAAGUACCGUGAGGGAAAGAUGAAAAGAACUUUGAAAAGAGAGUUAAACAGUACGUGAAAUUGUCAAAAGGGAAGCGUUUGACACCAGUGUUGUUUUUCCGAAAAUCAAUUAAAAAUGGAUUCAUGCUAAGUUGUAUUGACCUUAUCAGCUUGCAAUUUAGUUUUGGGUUCUUUCUUGAUGCACUUUUCGGUUAACAAGUCAACAUCAAUUUCUUUUGUUGUAAAAGGGUAAUGAGGAAGGUGGCUUGCGCUUUCGGAUAAAGUGUUUAUAGCCUUUUACCUCUGCAAUCGGAGAGAUUGAGGUCUGCAGCGUAGAUCCUUCGGGGUUAGAUACAUUUCGUGCUAAGUUAUAGCUUGUCAUAGACAACUUGUUGACUAUGUUUAGUCAUUGUAGCUUACUCGCAUGACUGCUACUUUACCUACGCUUAGGAUGUUGAGUAGCGACAUACGCAC